rnacentral:tRNA from 1 species
GUCAGGAUGGCCGAGUGGUCUAAGGCGCCAGACUCAAGUUCUGGUCCACGAAUGUGGGCUUGGGUUCAAAUCCCACUUCUGACA